UGUCUCAGUACAAGCCACAUUAAGGUGAAACCGCGAAAGGCUCAUUAAAUCAGUUAUGGUUCCUUAGAUCGUACCCACAUUUACUUGGAUAACUGUGGUAAUUCUAGAGCUAAUACAUGCAAACAGAGUUCCGACCGGAGACGGGAGGAAUGCUUUUAUUAGAUCAAAACCAAUCGGCGGCGGGCGCGUUUCACGCGUCUCUCGCCGCUCAACUUGGUGACUCUGAAUAACUUUCGGCUGAUCGCACGGUCUNGAACCGGCGACGCAUCUUUCAAAUGUCUGCCUUAUCAACUGUCGAUGGUAGGUUCUGCGCCUACCAUGGUCGUAACGGGUAACGGGGAAUCAGGGUUCGAUUCCGGAGAGGGAGCCUGAGAAACGGCUACCACAUCCAAGGAAGGCAGCAGGCGCGCAAAUUACCCACUCCCGGCACGGGGAGGUAGUGACGAAAAAUAACGAUACGGGACUCAUCCGAGGCCCCGUAAUCGGAAUGAGUACACUUUAAAUCCUUUAACGAGGAUCAAUUGGAGGGCAAGUCUGGUG
rnacentral:rRNA from 1 species